AGGAUAUGUGUGUUAAGUGGAGUGUGAAGUGGAGCAUUCGGUCCUGGGGGUCGGCAGGGGAAAGUCGUCUGAAACCAACAUCACUUUAUAUAUGGUAACCAGGAGCAUUUACAGGGACACUACAGAUGGCGCUCAAAAGACAACCCGUGGAUGGUGGCUACGCAUGGGUAAUCCUACUAGCGUGUGCACUCCUGUACAUGACACUGGUUGGCACAUGUAAAGCUUUUGGAAUCCUCUACAAUGAAUUUCUAAAGAAGUAUGACGCGGGGGCGGGGAACACUGCAUGGAUAAGCAGCCUCAUGUUCUUCCUCAGCUUCGCUCUAGG